ensembl:lncRNA
CCCAGUCAGGGGUCAGGAAAGGAUGAAGCAGAGACUGCUGAACCUGUUUGUGGAUCCCAUGAACCUGCUGCUGUGCACACCACCAGUCUGCUGGUCUCCAGACAGGGGCUCUGUGCCCCGGCACCUGGCCAGCUUGCCCUGAAAACCCUGAGAUGCUCAAGCCCCCUUCACAACAAAGGGGCCUAAGAGGCAGCAAGACCCUGAUUGUUGCGAUAAAGGGGAGAUGUCAGCACGCACCCCAGUGCAAGAACUGUUGUUUACCAGAAGUCGCAGUGAGAGCUUGUCAUGAAAUGAGCACAGACUUCACAGACAGCACUUCUCCGGUCCCACCUGACAGUCCUCCAGCGACCCAGAGCAGCUUCCUGGAGUAAUUACAGUUUGAGUCCUCCUGCCUGCACUCCUUUUCAGCUGCUCGCUUGCUCGCUCAGAGGUGAGCAGCCUUCCUCAACC